UGAGGAAUUUUCCGCAAUGGGCGAAAGCCUGACGGAGCGACGCCGUGUGGGUGAUGAAGAUCUUCGGAUCGUAAAACCCUGUCAGUAGGGAUGAUAAUGACAGUACCUGCAGAGGAAGCCCCGGCUAACUACGUGCCAGCAGCCGCGGUAAUACGUAGGGGGCAAGCGUUGUCCGGAAUCAUUGGGCGUAAAGGGCAUGUAGGUGGUUUUGCAAGUCAGGUGUAAAAGGCCUCAGCUCAACUGAGGUAGGCAUUUGAUACUGCAAAGCUAGAGAGCAUCAGAGGAAAGCGGAACUACCGGUGUAGCGGUGAAAUGCGUAGAUAUCGGUAGGAACACCAGUGGCGAAGGCGGCUUUCUGGGAUGUUUCUGACACUGAGGUGCGAAAGCUAGGGGAGCAAACGGG
rnacentral:rRNA from 1 species